rnacentral:lncRNA from 13 species
CAGCUCUCACGGUGUUUCCUGCUAAUCUCCCUUUCUGGCUAUUAUUCAGCUACCGCGAAUCCUCCUCAAGCUUCCAGCUUCCUUUUAGCUGUAGAAAGAGAAUGAAAAAAAUGUACCCUGAGACCCUGGAUUUUUUUUUUCUUCCUUUUCUGUUGCCAGUGAAUCUGUUUGAAAAGCAGCUGGCGCAGGCCGCAGAAAUGUGUGCCAGCACUAAUGGAGACGCAGGAGCCGCGCUGCAGGGCAUCCAGGCACCGCCAAACAUGGGCUUACUGUGGGUCCGCCCUCCCGGGGUGACCUGCCGGUGACACGCGUUUCGGACCUGCAGAGGGAGUCUGGAGCGUUGGAAAUGUUUCCCCUCUUCUUGAUUUUCUUUGGAGGCCCCAUACACUGUAUUAGUUCCACGAUGCAAAGUGCUGCUUCCAAGCAGGUUAACCGGAGCAGACUUCAUCUCGCCCCUCCCCGCAUUUCCUUUCAGGAAAUUCAGGAAGAAGCAGCACUUGUAUCAGAGGGUCCUGCCCUGCCCAGAUCUUCCUUAGGAGGACACAGAGGAGAUGGUGGAAAGAGCUAACACCAGGUGAAUGCAGGUUCUCCUUGUCUCAGGCGCCCCGGGGCUUUCUCAACCAUCCAGUGCACUAGCUCACACUGUCUUUAAGAAUUUGCCGCCAGACGCAGUGGCUCAUUCCUGUAAUCCCAGCACUUUGGGAGGCUGAGGCUGACAGAUCACCUGAGAUCAGUUUGAGACCAGCCUGGCCAACAUGGUGAAACCCCAUCUCUACUAAAAAUAAAAAAAUCAGCCGGGCGUGGUGGCGGGCA